rnacentral:lncRNA from 13 species
GUACACAUUCCUGCACAUGUAUCCCGGAACAUAAAAUAAAAUAAAGAAAUGUAAGCUGCGUAAUAACUGGUCAAGUUUUCAUUAUAGUAAUGCUUACUAAUAUUUGUUGUUCUACCCUUGUCAUUAAUACAUACUUUAAAAAAUUUUACUUACCCAGGUUUUAUAACUAAUAAAUAGUAGAAUACACAUUCAAAACCCAAUCUCUCUGAGUAUAGAAGACAUAUUCUAAACUCAAUAUUGAAUCCUGAAGGUCAGUUUGGCAACAGCAUGGUAGGUUAGAGAAAAGCACCAGUUAUGAGGCAAUUACAACAGGCUGGAUGACAGAUAAUGACAGUGUAAACUUAAGCCAAAGUCUUUGAGAGCAAGAUUCGCAUCAUUUUUCACUGUGCUCUGGCAUGAUGGGCUUGACAGAUUUAGGUGUUUAAUAAAUAUUUUCUGAACAAAUUGAAAUAUGACUUGGAGCAGGAAAAAAGUAACCAAUUUAAUUGGUUGAAAUUUGGGAGGUAAGUGAUCAGGAUUAGUGAAAGGAAGAAGUUAAAGAAGACUGGUUUCUAGUAGAGGCGAGAAAGUGUAUUGUGAUGUCAUCAACUGAGACAUGAAACAUCAGAGAAGAGCAGGUUUGGUCAGUGAGGUGGGUGAGGUGGUGAGGUGGGUGAAGAUGGUUCCGUUUUGAGUUUUAAGUACCUGUGUAAUGGUUGGAUGGAGAUGUCUGGUGGAUAACUGGAAAUAUAAAUCUGGAGUUCAAAAGAAGAGUUCAAUCUGAAGGACCCAGGCUGAUGGAAACUCCACCAUCUGGAAUAUCUCUGGUUUGCCAGACAUUGCAAAAGGAGGGGAAUAAAGAGGAAGCUUCUGUUUCCUAAAAAUUCUGUCCAAAUGGCAACACCCAACUGCAGGAAGCAGGGGCAUGCUGUCCUACCGUGCACUCAGUGAGGAAGUGUAGUCAUAGCGAGCAUAUCACAGGGAGCCUUGGAAUGAAGCAAGCUACUGACAGUAAGGCUGUCAACGUGCCAACCCUGCUCACCUUUCCAGUACCCUCUACUACCAAGCCUGACCUCUGUACCAGGUUAUGCGAUGCAUGAGAUCUGAUUCCCACAUGAUAUGUAAUGGCAUCCAUGUCCCAAAGUCCUUGGUUGACUAACCAAUGAAUUAAGCACCUAGUAUACCCAAAUAUGUCCUAGAUGCUGAUAAUAUGGAACAGACUUGAUACUUGGGUUAUUUCCUAUUGCUCUCAAGCACAUUAAAAAAAUUUUUAUUAUAAAAUAAUUCAAAUAGUCAAAAAGUACAGCAAUUAGUAUAACACUAAAGAGAUAUAA